UACUUUGGUGGCCUAAGUGGUUAGAGCAUCUGCCUUGGAUGUGGGAGGUCAUGGGUUCAAGUCCUGUCAAAGCAA